rnacentral:rRNA from 1 species
AGGACGAACGCUGGCGGCGUGCUUAACACAUGCAAGUCGAACGGUAAGGCCCCUUCGGGGGUACACGAGUGGCGAACGGGUGAGUAACACGUGAGCAACCUGCCUCUGACAUUGGAAUAACAGUUGGAAAACAGCUGCUAAUACCGGGUAUGACCUGUCACCGCAUGGUGGUGGGUGGAAAGCCUUGGCGGUCAGAGAUGGGCUCGCGGCCUAUCAGCUAGUUGGUGAGGUAAUGGCUCACCAAGGCUUCG